rnacentral:rRNA from 1 species
UACGUAGGGACCAAGCGUUGUUCGGAUUUACUGGGCGUAAAGGGCGCGUAGGCGGCGUGGUAAGUCACUUGUGAAAUCUCUGAGCUUAACUCAGAACGGCCAAGUGAUACUGCUGUGCUAGGGUGCAGAAGGGGGCAAUCGGAAUUCUUGGUGUAGCGGUGAAAUGCGUAGAUAUCAAGAGGAACACCUGAGGUGAAGACGGGUUGCUGGGCUGACACUGACGCUGAGGCGCGAAAGCUAGGGGAGCGAACGGG